rnacentral:lncRNA from 1 species
CUCUCUGCACAUGGAGCUCCCUGGCAGCUGCAGACAUGUAUUACCUUGUAGCUUAUAAUCCUGGCGGAAUGUUCAAACCACCUCUCCCUGUUUUUGACAGUCUCCACCAGCAGAAUUUAUCACAAUGAUGGUUUUCGUUGUACUACCACAAUAUACCUUUUGCCUGAAUCCCUGUGAAUUGCUGAACUUUCAAGGUGGGUAGGGAUUUACCCAUCAAAUACUCUGUCCUCUUAUUUCACUGGUGAAAAAUCAGAAAACCCAGGAAGGUUAGGUGGGA